AUACGUAGGGGGCGAGCGUUGUCCGGAAUGAUUGGGCGUAAAGGGCGCGUAGGCGGCGCGGUAAGUCUGGAGUGAAAGUCCUGCUUUCAAGGUGGGAAUUGCGUUGGAUACUGCCGCGCUUGAGUGCAGGAGAGGUUAUCGGAAUUCCCGGCGUAGCGGUGAAAUGCGUAGAGAUCGGGAGGAACACCAGUGGCGAAGGCGGGUAACUGGACUGCAACUGACGCUGAGGCGCGAAAGUGUGGGGAGCAAACAGGAUUAGAUACCCUGGUAGUCCACACUGUAAACGAUGAAUGCUAGGUGUAAGAGGUAUCGACCCCUUUUGUGCCGGAGUCAACACAAUAAGCAUUCCGCCUGGGGAGUACGGCCGCAAGGUUGAAACUCAAAUGAAUUGACGGGG
rnacentral:rRNA from 1 species